UAACGCAAACCAGCACGUUUUAUUAGAUGCAGCUAUAUUCUUAGUUUAUUUUUACUGGUCUUAAAUGGUAUAUUUUUUGUAUGUAUAUUACAAUGUCUAUUGCCAAAACCUCGAUAUUUUAACAUAAUGGGAAAUUCAACAGUUAUCAUAGGGAGACCAGUUUCGUUGCGGUGCAGACUUGAACGAAAAAUUGUCCAAUGAGCCCACCGAUGGGGAUCGAUCCCAAUCCGACCACGCAUCAAGCAAGCGCUUUACUACUGGACUAUAUCACGGCCCGGCCCGUACAUAGGAACGACAUCUGAAGGAUAUGCGUGCCAGAUUUUGAUUUUUAUUGACAAGAGGACAAAAACAUUUACAAAGAUCAAGAUAAAUUGCAGUUCUUAACCCAGUCUUCAUAACUUUAUUUUUUAAAUUUCCAUUAUAGUGUAAAAUUCCAAGAAAUACAACCGCAGUGUCGUCCAACCGAGAUCAGUUUACUCUGUAAUUAUAUUACUUCCCCAUCAUUGACCUCUUCAAUGAAGUGUUGAUGUCCAUCUUUUUUAUCAGUUGGUGGGAGUCGUUUGUUUUAAUA